rnacentral:rRNA from 1 species
UACGUAGGUGGCAAGCGUUGUCCGGAAUUACUGGGUGUAAAGCGCGUGUAGGCGGCAGGCCAAGUCUGCGGUGAAAGCGCCCGGCUCAACUGGGCGAGGUCCGUGGAAACUGGUCAGCUGGAGGACGGUAGAGGCGAGUGGAAUUCCCGGUGUAGUGGUGAAAUGCGUAGAGAUCGGGAGGAACACCUGUGGCGAAGGCGGCACUCUGGGCCGGAACUGACGCCGAGGAGCGAAAGCGUGGGGAGCGAACAGG